rnacentral:rRNA from 1 species
GAUGAACGCUGGCGGCGUGCCUAAUACAUGCAAGUCGAGCGAACGGACGAGAAGCUUGCUUCUCUGAUGUUAGCGGCGGACGGGUGAGUAACACGUGGAUAACCUACCUAUAAGACUGGGAUAACUUCGGGAAACCGGAGCUAAUACCGGAUAAUAUUUUGAACCGCAUGGUUCAAAAGUGAAAGACGGUCUUGCUGUCACUUAUAGAUGGAUCCGCGCUGCAUUAGCUAGUUGGUAAGGUAACGGCUUACCAAGGCAACGAUGCAUAGCCGACCUGAGAGGGUGAUCGGCCACACUGGGACUGAGACACGGUCCAGACUCCUACGGGAGGCAGCAGUAGGGAAUCUUCCGCAAUGGGCGAAAGCCUGACGGAGCAACGCCGCGUGAGUGAUGAAGGUCUUCGGAUCGUAAAUCUCUGUUAUUAGGGAAGAACAUAUGUGUAAGUAACUGUGCACAUCUUGACGGUACCUAAUCAGAAAGCCACGGCUAACUACGUG